rnacentral:rRNA from 1 species
GAUGAACGCUGGCGGCGUGCUUAACACAUGCAAGUCGAACGGAACUUGUCUGAUAGAGGAUUCGUCCAAUUGAUUACAAGUUUAGUGGCGGACGGGUGAGUAACACGUGAGCAACCUGCCUUCGAGAGUGGGACAACAGAGAGAAAUUUCUGCUAAUACCGCAUAUGACCACAGUACCGCAUGGUACAGGGGUGGAAGGAGCAAUCCACUCGAAGAUGGGCUCGCGGCUGAUUAGCUAGUUGGUGAGGUAACGGCCCACCAAGGCGACGAUCAGUAGCCGAACUGAGAGGUUGAUCGGCCACAUUGGGACUGAGACACGGCCCAGACUCCUACGGGAGGCAGCAGUGGGGAAUAUUGCGCAAUGGGGGAAACCCUGACGCAGCAACGCCGCGUGAAGGAUGAAGGCCUUCGGGUUGUAAACUUUUUGAUUGGGGACGAAGAAUGACGGUACCCAAAAACAAGUCACGGCUAACUACGUG